GGGCUAGCGUUGUUCGGAAUUACUGGGCGUAAAGCGCACGUAGGCGGAUAUUUAAGGCAGGGGUGAAAUCCCAGAGCUCAACUCUGGAACUGCCUUUGAUACUGGGUAUCUCGAGUAUGGAAGAGGUGAGUGGAAUUCCGAGUGUAGAGGUGAAAUUCGUAGAUAUUCGGAAGAACACCAGUGGCGAAGGCGGCUCACUGGCCCGGUACUGACGCUGAGGUGCGAAAGCGUGGGGAGCAAACAGG
rnacentral:rRNA from 1 species